AAUGUGGAUUGGAUGGCACUACAGUCCCCACUAUGUCAUGGGACAGGAUUCAGAUUCGAGUCUCGCUCUAAAUUCUGAGAACACUGGUCCAGUUGAAUCUGUGGAUUGUCAGCCUCUGGAAUCUUCAAGCUAUGAUUCCUUGGAGGAAGCUGAGAAAUCACAAGCAUCAGUGGCAGCAGUUGGACAAUGAGACACAAUCCUUAAGCCCCAGGUCUCAAUGCACACAGAGAAAAAAAGCACUGAGUAUCUUCAACAUUAUUAUGAAACAAGAGCAGAGGGAAAGAUGUUUGUUCAUUUCUAAAGAAGAACCCAGAAGCUUCUAGGGAAGAAGACACCCCUUCAGAAUACAGCAGUUGACAUCCCUGUUCCAGAUAGCACAGACUGAUUUGUGAAGCAAGACUUCAUUAUGAAAAUAGACUUUCCUGUUCCAAAUACAAGUGUCAGCCUACUGAUGUCCAAAGCAGAUGCACAGCCACGUAAUACUGACCUAGCAAGAAAGAAGACAGUGAGUGCUAUGGAUUUGGAGAGAAUGUGAGAAGGCUUUAGCUGCUGUGACUAAAAAUAUUACAAAGAUUCUUUAGGUCAAGUUCAACUCUUAGGGGACUGCAUGGAAACAUCAGUUUCAUUGUCUUGGGAACAAACAGGAAGUGCUUUAUUUUCUGUUUUGUAAAUUAUUUACAAAAUAUUAUAUAUUGCAUUUAUUUUUGUUUUUCAACUGUCCAGCCUGGAAUAUCCUGAUAAUUCCCAAUACAAAUACUAACUAGCUCUGAUCGUACAAUCAGGUCUCCUGAAGAACAACAGCUUGGGCAGGGGUCUUCAAACUUGGCCUUUUAUGACUUGUGGACUUCAACUCCCAGAAUUCCUCAGUCAGCAUGGCUGGCUGAGGAAUUCUGGGAGUUGAAGUCCACAAGUCAUAAAAGGGCCAAGUUUAAAGAACCCUGAGCUUAUGCUUCACAAAAUCAUUCAAUAUAAAUACCAGGGUUUGUGGAAAGAAUAGGGUUAGAAAUGGCAAUGUUUUAGUUACAAAUGUGUUUUCAAGCAAAUACAUUAUCCUAAUAAAGAAGUUACACAGUU